rnacentral:tRNA from 1 species
ACUUUUUUAUUAUAAAAAUUAUAUUUGAUUUCCAAUCAAAAGAUCUUAAGUAAACAAGAAAAAGUA